rnacentral:lncRNA from 1 species
GUGUAAAGUGCAUUGAAUUUGAGCUACUUUUUAGAACCUAGUAAUUUUAGACUAAUUUUGAUAUCAUAUUACUUAAAAGAAUCAGUAUAUUAUAUGUGUGAAAAUUAGAAAUAUUUUAUUUUACGGUGCCGAUCAGAAAGAAAAAAUUAAGCUAACAGUGAAUUAUGUCUAUUAAACGGGCUUAGGCCUAGUCCAAAAGCUUAAGCUAAUAGUGCGUUUAUAUCAACCGACCGUUCCUAGCGCAAGUGGCAAAAGAUUUGGUAGUUGAUAGCUGAGGUCCAAAGUUCGAAUCUUAGUUGAUUCAUAUUUCCAGCUAAAUUUAUCUCUAAAUGAAAUAAACAAAGCGGGUAGCAUACUAUCUAUUUCUCUUUCAAAAAAAAGUCCAUUUAUAUCCGAUACGGGACUAUCAUUCCUAAC